rnacentral:lncRNA from 2 species
AGCACACAACUUGUUAAGAUCGGGACAUGGGGUGGAAAUGGAGGAGGUCGUGUAGACCUAUCUGUACUCCCAAGGAGCUUGAAAAGCAUUACACUUGGAUCUCAGGAAUUCGUGAAGGGAAUCUCCGGAACUUUUACCAACGUCGUGACAAACCUUAAAAUUGUCACCAAUGUCACCACUUAUAAUUUUGGACAAGGUGGUGGAACUGCUUUUAGCCUCCCGCUGCAGAGCGGUAGUGUGGUUGGUUUCUUCGGACGCGCGGGAGCACUUGUGGACUCUAUCGGAGUUUAUGUCCACAUAUGA